GACGAACGCUGGCGGCGUGCUUAACACAUGCAAGUCGAACGGAAAGGCCCUGCUUUUGUGGUGUGCUCGAGUGGCGAACGGGUGAGUAACACGUGAGUAACCUGCCCUUGACUUUGGGAUAACUACAGGAAACUGGGGCUAAUACAGGAUAGGAGCUCCUGCUGCAUGGUGGGGGUUGGAAAGUGUCGGCGGUUGGGGCUGGACUCGCGGCUUAUCAGCUUGCUGGUGGGGGAGUGGCAUCCCAAGGCUUUGACGGGUACCCGGCCUGAGCGGGUAGACGGGCACCAUGGUACUACGGGACGCAGCAGUCUCCAACGGGCGGCAGCAGUGGGGAAUCUUGCGCAAUGACCCGGAGCCUGAUGCAACAGCCCCCCGUGCGGGAUGACGGGCUUCGGGUUAUGAACCGCUUUCGCCUGUGACGAAGUGUGAGUGACGGUAAUGAGUAAAGAAGCACCGGCUAACUACGUG
rnacentral:rRNA from 1 species